rnacentral:rRNA from 1 species
GACGAACGCUGGCGGCGUGCCUAAUACAUGCAAGUAGAACGCUGAAGGAGGAGCUUGCUUCUCUGGAUGAGUUGCGAACGGGUGAGUAACGCGUAGGUAACCUGCCUGGUAGCGGGGGAUAACUAUUGGAAACGAUAGCUAAUACCGCAUAAGAGUAGAUGUUGCAUGACAUUUACUUAAAAGGUGCAAUUGCAUCACUACCAGAUGGACCUGCGUUGUAUCAGCUAGUUGGUGGGGUAACGGCUCACCAAGGCGACGAUACAUAGCCGACCUGAGAGGGUGAUCGGCCACACUGGGACUGAGACACGGCCCAGACUCCUACGGGAGGCAGCAGUAGGGAAUCUUCGGCAAUGGACGGAAGUCUGACCGAGCAACGCCGCGUGAGUGAAGAAGGUUUUCGGAUCGUAAAGCUCUGUUGUAAGAGAAGAACGAGUGUGAGAGUGGAAAGUUCACACUGUGACGGUAUCUUACCAGAAAGGGACGGCUAACUACGUGCCAGCAGCCGCGGUAAUACGUAGGUCCCGAGCGUUGUCCGGAUUUAUUGGGCGUAAAGCGAGCGCAGGCGGUUAGAUAAGUCUGAAGUUAAAGGCUGUGGCUUAACCAUAGUACGCUUUGGAAACUGUUUAACUUGAGUGCAAGAGGGGAGAGUGGAAUUCCAUGUGUAGCGGUGAAAUGCGUAGAUAUAUGGAGGAACACCGGUGGCGAAAGCGGCUCUCUGGCUUGUAACUGACGCUGAGGCUCGAAAGCGUGGGGAGCAAACAGG